ACCAUCAAAAGAAACUCAACAGGUGCCGCCGCAGUGAACAGCAAAAGCACUUAUUUAUCCAACAUACUCCUACACAACCUUGGCUCAAAUUGCGCACAUCUAUCAUCAAAGAUGCACAGGAAAGAUAACAACGAAUAGUGGUUAUAUUCAUGGAAGAAAUUCUGAUAUGAAUCAAGUUUUCUGUAUCUAUGCAGAUAUGAAUGAAAGAAUUCCAGAUAUCAAUCUGUUUGGAGGUCGACAAAAAUUCUGACACCAAAGAUCUCCAUCCAAUCUACUCUAAGAUUAUCUGUCUGUUGUAUCAUCCGCUGGCUCUCUUUGGCAUGGAUGUGCUUGAGCUUCACUCCAGACUCCAGAGUCUCGGGUGAUAGUGUAGCUCCUCUGCGCUACAUCAUGGUGAUGUCUGUGAAAUGAAACAGCAAAUUAAAUCCAAUUAGUGACAAUAUCACAGCCAUUAACUUGAUUAAGAUUCGAAGGAUGCAGGUACGGAUAACAAGAACAAUCAAAGGCUGCAGUUCAUGGUAUGGCCGUGCCUGGUUGAGCAGCGGCCGAGCGAAGAGCGGGGUAGGCAGCGAGCGAGCAGGAAUCAGACGCCGGAGCGCGUCAUCCACGCUCUCACGCCCGGAGCUCCCCCGAACGCUUUAACCCUCGCCGGGCUCCUCCCGGCCCACCGCUUAAUUUUGCGCCGCGCGCCGCCUCCCCAAACGCCACCGCCACGCCGAGGUGGUCGGCGCGGACGACCAUGGUUCGUUCUUGGACGAACAAGAACUCAGAUUAAGAGCGUGCUCCGCCGUAUCGGCUAAUGGCGCGCUGCUAACCCCUCUUCUUGCCUCGCUAUUAUACGAAGGGAAGCGCCGCCACGCCGAGUUGGCUGGCGCGGACGACGAGGAGUCGUUCUUGGAAGAACAAGAACUCGAUGGGCGGGGCACCGCCACCGCCGCCGCCGCCGCUCCGGCAAAACUGACCCCUCUUAUCGCCUCACAUUUCUACGAACCAGCGUCCGCCAUCCCAGGGCGCCUCCGUCAUCAAUGGCGUCGCCCGAGAGGUGGAUGCUCACCCGCCUGCCCGCUUCGGCAUUAACCCCUUUUCUUUCGCCUCCCUGUUCUACGCCCAGUUCUUGGUUUCUUUCGCCCAAUGCAAUACCGAAGAGCGGGGUAAGGAAGGAGGGGGGAUGGGCGUACCGGCGGCGGGAGAGCGCGUGGAGGAUGUCGGCGCGGCGGUGUAGAGGCCUUGGGAGUGAUCCUGCCCACGAAGAAGAAGGACGGCGGACACGGCGCCGAUGACCAAGACGAAGGCGAAGGAGAGGAGACGUCUUCCACCCCACGCUCGAUCAGCGACCUCCACGGGACGCUCCUCACGUUCGGGCCGUCGGUCGAGGCGGAGGCGCCAUCGGUCGCGGCGGUCGCGGCGUGGGAGGGCGCCAACAGGAGGGACGACGUAGUCCAUGGCGUGCGGUGGUGGGCGGAGGAGGGCUGGCAGGGGAGGAAAGA
rnacentral:lncRNA from 1 species